UACGUAGGGUGCAAGCGUUGUCCGGAAUUAUUGGGCGUAAAGAGCUCGUAGGCGGUUUGUUGCGUCGGCUGUGAAAUCCCGAGGCUCAACCUCGGGUCUGCAGUCGAUACGAGCAAACUAGAGUGUUGCAGGGGAGACUGGAAUUCCUGGUGUAGCGGUGAAAUGCGCAGAUAUCAGGAGGAACACCGGUGGCGAAGGCGGGUCUCUGGGCAACAACUGACGCUGAGGAGCGAAAGCGUGGGGAGCGAAACAGG
rnacentral:rRNA from 1 species